rnacentral:tRNA from 1 species
GAGCCUGUGGCUAAGUGGUUAGAGCGUUUAACUUGUGCUUAACAGGUCACGGGUUCA